rnacentral:rRNA from 1 species
GACAGAGGUGCCGAGCGUUAGGCGGAAUCACUGGGCUUAAAGCGUGUGUAGGCGGACGGGUAAGUACCUUGUGAAAUCCCACGGCUCAACCGUGGAACUGCUCGGUAUACUGCCCGUCUUGAGCCAGCUAGGGGCAACCGGAACAAACGGUGGAGUGGUGAAAUGCGUAGAGAUCGGAAAGAACACCAACGGCGAAAGCACUCUGCUGGGCCGACACUGACACUGAGAGACGAAAGCUAGGGGAGCGAAUGGG